CAACCAUUUUUCCUUAGAAA
rnacentral:misc_RNA from 1 species